CCUGUGUUCUCAUCUUCUCUUGAUGCCUCACACUGGGAUCCCCUGGAUGGAAGAGCCUGUCCUACUGGAGAUAAUGCCUGGACUUCUCAAAGACCGCUGUGCAUUCCUAUGAACCUGCCUGCAGCUCUCUCCCUGUCAUUUGGGUCAUUCGCAGCAGUGUACAGACAUGCUCAAGAGUUCCCAUCUUUCAAAAGCUUUCUCUUUCCCCUUCCAUUAUCAAAAUGGAAGUCAAUUCAUGUGAGUUAAUGUAAAGCUCUCAAAUGCUUUCCUAUUUCCCUUAGAAUAAAAAUAACCUCUCACCAUGGGCGAUAGGCCCUCAGAGUAUCUGGCCCCUGCUAGGCUUUUCAUGACCCCAUCCUACCCUACCCCACUUCUUCACAGACUGCAACACAUUGUGAGACCCCUGUGCUCAAGUGUUGCGGGGCUUGCUUUGGGAGACAGAAGUAGUAGCAAUGUGGCUGGUAGAAAAGGAUGGCAAUCCUGGUGCAAGUGGGGGUUCUUGGUGGAGGCAGGAGUAAGGAGACACAGCAGCAGUGUGUGGCAAUGUCACAGCUGCUUAGCUAGGAACUCAAGACACCCGUGAGAGAAUUACUUAGGAUACUGGGAGGGCUCUGCAGGGGCCUGGGGUUCUGCAUCAAAAGGAGAAGGAGAGAGUCCGGGAAAUGUUGUUACUGACUCCAUUUUUACCCACAGACCAGGGAAACAUGGAUAUAUGGGUUCCAUUCCGAAAUUCCUUCAGGAAUAAGAUUCAUUCCUGGUCCAUCACUCAAAAGCCAAUUAAGACAAGGAAUCUUCCUUUUCUUUCUAUUUCUGUUUCUCACACACACAUACCCAUAAAAUUGUAUUUUAACUUUAAAGAACAUGUGCAUUCAUUUGUUAUUCUUUUAACAUAAGACAACUCUUUGUUUUUUUAG
rnacentral:lncRNA from 1 species